rnacentral:lncRNA from 1 species
GCAGGUGAUCAGUGAGGAUGUUCUCAGCACACCAUCGACGACUGACUCUCUGCUCUUCCUGCAUCUUGCUUCUCAUCCCCUGCAGCUGGAUGCCCGCAGUAGCGAAGUGGCCUCGGAGGCUGGGGAYGAUGGUCCCGAAUGUGGCGUCUCGGAGUUGCGUAUUUGGCAGGGAUGAUAAGCCUUGCUGCAAAACCAAGCAGAGCGAAGCCGCCGCUGCCUCCCCCCUUGCAUACUCACAGAGCUCUGAAACUGUCGCUGCCAGCAGCACGGCUCAGGAAGCGCUUGAUGUUCUCYUUGCUGGCACUGAGCAGGAGCAGCGCGAGUCUGGCAAACAGGAGCGUCCAGUGGGCAGGGCUGAAGGCUGGAAGUUCUGCCUCCAGGUCUCCCAUAAACUGGAAGAGCACCUGCUUCCUCGCCUCCUUGUCCUGGAGGUUGGUGAGUGCCAGCUGCAGGAGAAGGGAAAUGAGGAGCYGUGAGCAGACAGGAUUCAGAAGGUCGUGCCAGUGCAAGGCCAGAGGGAGUGGCAUUGCCAGCAGUGCCUCUGGGUGAGUGCCAGAGAGGGGAAGACACAUCUUGGCUGUGUCCUGCGAGCCUGCCCGAUGGGCAGCCGAGACCGCAGGGUAGGCCGGAGAGCGUCGGCAGGCGUCCCUGCACGGCGCAGGCUCCCCGCUGCAGUGCUCGCCGAGGGCGCUGCAGGCCGUGUGGUCGCUGGCCCCUUGUGACAACACAAGCGCGGGCAGGCCCGGGUGUCGGKUGGGAAAGGGCAAGUGGCCGUGGGGAUCAGCCUGCUGCCCGGGGCCCCGAGCACGAGGUUUAGUAGCUGUGCUUGGUAGGAGCUCAGCGUUGCCACGAGUGUGUGCUUCCGUACGGCCCAGGCGUUAGGUCUCRGGCCCCGAGCUAAGCAAAAUGCACCUUUCAUUUGAGUGAGACCCAUGCGUUSUUCUUUAAACUCACCUCAAACUCCCAGCAUCAACCAGAGCAGACUUACUGGUCCUGUUCCAAAAAGCAAAUGUGUCAUAUUGUACAUGGAGACUUUCCACAAGGGACUGUGAWUCCCAAGUCAGAGGCUUUUGGCUCGGGCCCUAGGGGACACUGACCAUGCACACCACACAUUGCAGCACAUGGUGUUUCCAAAUGGUACUCACUUAAAUGCAACAGUUAAAUGGUAGAAAUGUCCAAGUCCCACAUCAUAAUCCUGCUUCCUAAUACCCCAAGAGCCCACUGAAUUAACAUAGAGUAUUUGAUAAAGCUGAACUAAAAAAGAACGGGGCACUUUGAAAAUAUUCUAGAAAACUCUGUUAUGUUGUUAUGUGGUGAUAGGCCAUUACACAUACAAGUCUAUCAGGAGAGGGUGAGAGUUUUUUUGUUUGUUUGUUUGUUUGUUUUGUUUUGUUUUUUUUUUUUUGCAUUGUGGGAGAUUACUACAGAAGCAUUUGGUUUUCGGCAUUUGGUAAAGUGGCUUCUGCGUUGCAGAAU